rnacentral:sRNA from 1 species
GCAUUUUUCUUCAUUUCUCUGUGGAUCAGAUGGUCACUGGUGUUUAGAGUAGUUAACUAGUUUUCUAAUAUGGUGAGCUGGACUCCAAUACAGGGACAUCCGGGCCAGUUCACGGAGCAGGGACCUUCUCACCCUCACCACUUAUUCCAGAGGUGGCUCAUCCCCAGGCAAUGACUUGAACCAUCCCUCUUGUCCCUUGGCAGUUUGGAAACACAUGCUACUGUAACUCCGUGCUUCAGGCAUUGUACUUCUGCCGUCCAUUCCGGGAGAAUGUGUUGGCAUACAAGGCCCAGCAAAAGAAGAAGGAAAACUUGCUGACGUGCCUGGCGGACCUUUUCCACAGCAUUGCCACGCAGAAGAAGAAGGUUGGCGUCAUCCCACCAAAGAAGUUCAUUUCAAGGCUGAGAAAAGAGAAUGAUCUCUUUGAUAACUACAUGCAGCAGGAUGCUCAUGAAUUUUUAAAUUAUUUGCUAAACACUAUUGCGGACAUCCUGCAGGAGGAGAAGAAACAGGAAAAACAAAAUGGAAAAUUAAAAAAUGGCAACAUGAAUGAACCUGCGGAAAAUAAUAAA